rnacentral:lncRNA from 1 species
AAGCCAGCCUGUGUGAGCGGCCACCAGCGGCCAGGCAGCCCUCAGCCUGGUGUCCCCGAGCAAGCCCACCAGCCAGGUCGCGGGCCCUGACUGCUGUCUGCUGUAUCCCCGCCUCCCCGGGACAGCGUACCUGAGGCCCUGCCAAGCUGCCCUUCCUGCUGGCGGUCCCUGCUCUGCCCCGCUGCCCUGUCGCGGGGCCUCUGGAUCUUCUCCUGGACCACAGAGAAGGAGCCCGGGCCCAGAGAAGGCCAGCACGAGUCCAGGGCCACACAGCAGGUCUUCAGGGAGCUCUGAGCGGAGGGGUCCAGCCCAAGGUCUCACCAGACCCAGGCGCAGCUGGAGGAGGAGGAGAGCCCGCGGCAGUGGUCCUGGGAACUAAGAUAGCUGGUGAGCCUGGCUCACGGGGCCUCAGACCUGCCAGGACCAUCUCACCACCUUGCCUGCUGACAGAGCCUCAAACCAGGCCCCUCCGCCCACCUGCCAAGAGGCCUUGAGCAGGUCGUGGCCCCUCUCCUGGUCUUCUUCACUUCCCCCCUUGUGAAACGGGGCUGACUCUGCCUUCUCACAGGCUGCUGCAAAGGAGAAAUAGGAGUGCAUUUGGAAUCAUCCGGUAUACAGUAGGUGCUCAAUAGGCACGUAUGCCUUUCUGCCCUUUUCCUGCCCUCCCGAGGGAGUGGCCACCCUGGCCUUGUCCCCGAGGCCCUGCCCCCAGCUUUCUUC